UACGAGGGGGGCAAAUGUUGUUCGGAAUCACUGGGCGUAAAGGGAGCGUAGGCGGGUUUCUAAGUCAGGUGUUUAAUCCCGGGGCCCAACCCCGGACAGGCACUUGAAACGUGGGAAUCUUGAAUAGUGGAGAGGUCAGUGGAAUUGGGGGUGUAGCGGGUGGAAUGCGUAGAGAUCCCCAAGAACACCAGUUGCGAAGGCGGCUGACUGGACACAGUAUUGACGCUGAGGCUCGAAAGCAUGGGGGAGCAAAGCAGG
rnacentral:rRNA from 1 species